rnacentral:rRNA from 1 species
AGUCUAAUGAAUAUUUAAACUAGAUCCAUCCUGCUCAAUGGUUACUUACAACUAAAUGGCCGCAGUACUUUGACUGUGCUAAGGUAGCAUAAUAACUUGGCCAAUAAUUAUGGUCUGGAAUGAAAGGGUUCACCUAUGAAAAACUGUCUUAUAAAAGAUAUAUUGAAAUUAUUAAUCAGGUGCAAAUACCUGUAAAUAUUAUAAUAGACGAGAAGACCCUUAGAGUUUUAAUUAUAAGUCCUAUAUACAUUUUUGUUGGGGCAACAUAGGAAUAAUCACCUUCCUAAUAAUAAAUUUAACAAAAUAAAUGUUGUUUAAGUUGGGUAUAACUACCUAAGGGAUAACAGCAUUAUCUUAAAUAAGGAUUGUGACCUCGAUGUUGGAUUAGGUUAAGUUAACAUUAGUAAUGUUAAUUAGUGGUUCUGUUCGAACUUAUCCACCU